CCAAAGGCUCUUUUCAGAGCCACUUUAAAAAAAAAAAAAAGCUAGU
rfam:Rattus norvegicus chromosome 14, whole genome shotgun sequence.